AUCCUCAGGUUCAAAAGUGUGAUGAUUGGGUUUUCAUGCUCCAUGCAUGACAUGUGCCUCCUUUGAACCUUAUUACGACAUCGGCACAUUGCCCAUCUGACA
rnacentral:snoRNA from 1 species